CAAGCAGUUCAGCCGGCUAUCAUAAGGCAGAGAACGAGCUAUUAGGUUCUUUUCAAAGACUAUUCUAAGUUUUUUUGUUACAACCGCUGUAACCAGAUUCUAAAUUAGUAAACGUAACAGAAAACUGCCAUGAACCUUGAAUUCAUAUUUCUUGGCAGCAUUGUGCUUGCAACCAUUUUUGUAUUCCUGAAGAUUUUACUAGAGGAUACUUUGCCAUAAAGAUAACAGACAUUGCUGGAGAAUACCGCUGAAGUUCUCUAGAUAACACUAUAUGAAUGGCCACCAAAGUUAACAUCUCGUAUAGCUGUAAGGACAACACCUUCUAUGUAAAACAAGAACGAUGCUGUGACUCUUCUGGUGAACAAUUUCAAUCAUAUUAUGGUGACUACAUCCCAUAUUCAAUACCCAUGUUCAGGCAAAUUGUAGUUCAUCUGGACAUCGUAGAAUGAUUACUGGCUCGAAUAAAGAAAAAUAAAGUCCUAUCUGUGAGAAACCCAUUAUUCCACUUAAAUGCUAAGCAGAUACAUACUAUGUAUGUCAAAAUAGACACAGUGUAACCAGUCAAUAAA
rnacentral:sRNA from 1 species